UACGGGGGGGCAAGCGUUGUUCGGAAUUACUGGGCGUAAAGGGCUCGUAGGCGGCCAACUAAGUCAGACGUGAAAUCCCUCGGCUUAACCGGGGAACUGCGUCUGAUACUGGAUGGCUUGAGUUUGGGAGAGGGAUGCGGAAUUCCAGGUGUAGCGGUGAAAUGCGUAGAUAUCUGGAGGAACACCGGUGGCGAAGGCGGCAUCCUGGACCAACACGUGACGCUCAUGCACGAAAGCGUGGGGAGCGAUCCGG
rnacentral:rRNA from 1 species